UUUUACGGUCAUACCACCCUGAAUGUGCACGAUCCCAUCUGAUCUCGGAGCUAAGCAGGGUUGGGCCUGCUUAGUACUUGGAUGGGAGACCACCUAGGAAGACCAGGUGCUGCAGGGC
rnacentral:rRNA from 1 species